GGCCUAAAUAGUUAAAGGGACACUAUAGUUACCAGAACUACAGCUUAUUGUACUUGUUCUGGUGAGUAGAAUCAGCCCCUGCAGACUCCCCCCACCCCACUCCAAACAGUCUUUUGAGAGAAAAGGCAGUGUUUAUAUUACAGCCUAGGGAUACCUCUACUGGCCAUUCCCCAGAUGGCUACUAGAGGUGCUUCCUGGGGCAGUGCCAUUCAGUGUCUCUACACUCUGGAAGGAGACGUUGAACUUUCCUCAGAGAUGCAUUGAUUCAAUGUAUCUUUGAGGAGAGCUGAUUGGCAAGGGCAGCAGAGCUGGAAAUAAGGUAUGUUUUAACCAUUCCUAAGGGGGCAAGUCACCUAAAGUUUAGUUUUAACAUAAGGGCAGGAAUACAUGUUUGUUUCAUUAAGGUAGGAAAUAGACCUAGC